AUUGAACGCUGGCGGCAGGCCUAACACAUGCAAGUCGAACGAGUGGCGGACGGGUGAGUAAUGUCUGGGAAAAUGCCUGAUGGAGGGGGAUAACUACUGGAAACGGUAGCUAAUACCGCAUACCAUCAGAUGAACCCAUAUGGGAUUAGCUUGUAGGUGGGGUAACGGCUCACCUAGGCGACGAUCCCUAGCUGGUCUGAGAGGAUGAUCGGCCACACGGGGACUGAGACACGGCCCAGACUCCUACGGGAGGCAGCAGUGGGGAAUAUUGCACAAUGGGCGCAAGCCUGAUGCAGCCAUGCCGCGUGUAUGAAGAAGGCCUUCGGGUUGUAAAGUACUUUCAGUCGGGAGGCGUUACCGACAGAAGAAGCACCGGCUAACUCCGUGCCAGCAGCCGCGGUAAUAC
rnacentral:rRNA from 1 species